rnacentral:lncRNA from 1 species
UUGCAUUCCUUUGUGAAGUAGCAGCCUCUCCAAUAUCUUUCUAAGCACUUUUCUUCCUAGUUUUGUUUAGUGUGGACCUAUCUUUUGACCUUCUUUCUAGCUUUUUCUACUUUGUUCUUUCAUAUUUCCUCAUUAUGUUGUGAAUUAAUACAAUGGUGAUUGAAAUCAUCUUGCUUGAUUGCAGAUUCAAACAACAUGUAGAUGUUCUUGUUUAAUAGCUUAUAAAAUAAAGAUUAAAUAUUUAUAUAUACAAAUUUCUUCAACAUUUAAAUGUAUACAGGUUACUCCCAUAAUACAAAACUAAUUUGGUUAUAAACCAAGACUACCCAAAAAAUAACAAGUAAGCGUAUUUCUUCAGCUUUUGCUGUAGCUAUCAGUUCAAAUACUGGUGUUUUGGUUGGUUGCUUGUUUGUUUGUUUGUUUGUUUUGUUUUAUGACAGACUCAAAGGCAGGCAAGGGAGUGGGAAAAUUUUAUAGUGGGAAAAAAAAACAAUAACAAGAAAAGAAACAGUUCAAUUAAAAAGUGGGCCAACACCAUAUCGAAGAAGAUAAACAGAUGGCAAAUAAGCAUUUAAAAGUAUACUCUACGUUGUAUGUCACCAGAGAAAUGGAAUUAAUGGUACUCCAUUUUUGGAAUUAAAAUAAAAACUUAACUUAUGGGAUCCCUGGGUGGCUCAGUGGUUUAGCAUCUGCCUUUGGCCCAGGGCGGAGCCCGACGUGGGACUCAAUUCCAGGACCCCGGGGUCAUGCCCUGAGCCAAAGGCAGAGGAUGAACCCCUGAGCCACCAGGUACCCUUAGUUGUCCCUGUGAGGUAGUAAUUGUACUUUUAUCCCAUUGCCAGCAUUUUCUCCUCUUCACCCAAUAAGCAGUAUAAUCUAGGGCUGAGUAAUCAAACCACUCUUUCUAAAUUACCUAAUAUGUUUGAUGUCAGAAUUAUUUUUGUCGUUCUAAAUUUAAAAUAUAGAUUUUAAAAUAUAAUUUUUAAAUCUCUUUUUUUCCUAUUCAAAUGCUUGCUGGAAGUUUUGGGGUUUUUUUUAGACUAUUUUGGUGGGAACAUGGUACGCCUUUAUCCUCUUCCAUUUCAAGUCUUUUUUUAAUCAGAAAUUUCUCUUCGGUUAUGAUUUUGACCUUUAUUUCUAUUCUGAUUGGUGUGGUUUCUAUAAUUGUCUCUCAUCAUUUAAAAUUCUUCUUUUUCUUCUACAUUUCUACAGUUCUUAUUGAAUCUAGCUCUCUUUUAAUUCCAAAUCUUAAAUAUCAUCUGAGUCCCAUUGCUUUUUGCUUUUGACUCUUUUUCCCCCUCCCAUCUGAGCCUGUUGUCUUCUGUGUCAAUUAGACCGUAUCUUUUCUUUUUUAUCAAAGGAUUCAAAAAGUCUUCUAAAAUGAUUUAUUCCUAUAUUGGACAUUUUCUCAAUACAUUUAUUAUUUUUUUUUUGUCUUUUUCUCUCUCUCUCUCUUUUUUCCUUUAGAGAGGGUGAGAGAGAUGGGAGAGGAGGGGCAGAGAAAGAGGCAGAGAGACUAAUCUAAAGAGGCUCCACGCUGCGACCCAGUGUGGGGCUUAAUCUCACAGUCUUGAGAUCGUGACCUGAGCGAAAUCAGAGUUGGAUGCUUUUAACCAACGGAGCCACUCAGGCACCCCAAGACAUUUAUUUUCUAAGGAAAAUUUGGGUUUCAUCAUUUGAUACAUAUAUUUUAGAGUCCUGUACUUACCCAUUCUUCCGUGAUCAAAAAGACUUAGCUGGUGUUUUUCAAUAAAAUAAAUCUUAAGUGUUAACACCUUCUUAUUUUAAUUUGUUCAAAUUCUUAAGUUUCAUUUUAUUUGAUGAUACAUACAAAUCAUAGAGGAGCACAGAGGAAAAGUAUUUUAAAAUCAUAGAAAGAUCUUUUAUUAACAAUUUAUAUUCUCAAAUCCAGGAAAGGCGUAUUUGAAGGAGUUAAGUUUGCUUUUGUUUUAAAGGAACAUCAGGAAUUUUCAGAAGUAGUAAAAUAUUUCCUCAUUGGAACAUGUAAAAAGAACUGGAAUGUGGAGCGUUUCUUAUAUCCACUGGGCACCUGGGUGGCUCAGGGGUUGAGCGUCUGCCUUUGGCCCAGGUUGUGACCCCCAGGUCCUGGGAUGGAGUCCUGCAUUGGGCGCGCACAGGGGCCUGCUUCUCCCUCUGCCUGUGUCUCUGCCUCUCUCUCUCUGGGUCUCUCAUGAAUAAAUAAAUAAAAUCUUUAAAAAACAAACAAAAACAAAUAUCCACUAAUCACUCCUAUCUUCUGUAGCUUCUAGUAUCACAAAUGGAGUGCCAACAAAAGUUAUCGCAGGGUUUGCAGGUUAGGAGAACACAUUUCCUACAUGUAGUACAAACUUAAACUUACUUAGAAGAUCCAUGUUUUUGGUGAUAAGACUCAUUGUAGGUGAUGAUGCUAAAAGAAGCAGUAGUCCUUUCCAAGAUAAUGAGAUGUUUCCAUCCCAGUUGAUAAAAUACAUUUCCAAAUAAAUCCUAGAUUUCACAACUUAAACUUGUAAAUGGCUAAAUAUUUUCUGGUGAGAAAACUGAGUUUGAAUGAUGAUGCUAAAGGAAAAAAUACUUUCCAAGGUAAUAAGUAUUUGCAUACCAGUUAUUAUAAUUAUAUAAAAAUAUAUGUUAAAUUUCAUAGCAUUUAACUUCACAGCACAUGAAAUGCAGUCGUAUCUACAGUGUUACAGAUUCCUUAAUGUGAUACCUUUAUUUUCACCCAGAUACAAAAAUGUAGAUGUCUUAGAGCACACACUUGUCUUUAUGCAGCACUGUUCAUUUUAUUGUUUGGAUUGAAUUGAAAGCCAAUUUAAUCAGAUGACAUUGAUUUUUUUUUAUUAGAUUUUUUUUUCUGGUUGUUUAACAUCUUGAAAUGCAAUUAAAGACAAAAGUAUUGUUUUCUGAUUUUCAUUUUCUUUUUAAGAUUUAUUCAUUUAUUUGGUGAGGGAGGGACAGAGGAGUAGAAGAGAGAGAGUCCUAAGCAGACUCCCGCUGAGUGUGAGGCUCAAUCUCAUGACCUCGGGAUCACGACCUGAGUCAAAUCAAGGGUGGCCAAUUGACUGGCUGACUGAACCACCCAGGUGCCCCACUGAUUUUUAAAUUUUCAACUUAAUAUUCACCUUAUUUAUUAUAUGGGAUAUAUGUCCAUAUUACUGCACACUUACCUAAAGAAGAAGUUCAGAAGUUUUCUUGCAGUAUUUUAUGUCAAUAGUUUAUUGAAAUCUCAAACCAUUCCCGUUGUCGAAUGUGUAACUUCCUUAAGGUUCCUGUUUGGUUUUAAUAAUUCAAUGCCGGCAGCCCGGGUGGCUCAGCGGUUUAGCGCCGCCUGCAGCCCAGGGCGUGAUCCUGGAGACCCUGGAUCGAGUCCCACGUCGGGCUCCCUGCAUGGAGCCUGCUUCUCCCUCUGCCUGUGUCUCUGCCUCUCUCUCUCUCUCUC